GAGAACUAAGAGAGAUAAUAGUGGCAUCCUCCUCGUUUACUUCAGAAAAUGGCCUUUGAUCUAUCUGCGUUGCAGAAGUACUCAUGAAGCUGUAAUGAAUGAGUGGCAAAUAACAUCUUCUCUUUGUGUACAAGAGGAUGACUGAUGAUGAUGGUCACCAUAUCCUGCAAAGUAGGGCAGAGAAACAUGCCUACUGGACAGGGGCUUGACCUCCAAUUUGGUCCAAGUGUAAGCAUUGGACUUUAUUUACACACACAGGAGUAAGCUGGUUGCCUUGGCUCUGGUACAGUGAUGUCGUCACUGCUAAGCAUUGCAACAAUAUCAGACAUAGUGGGACGGUCUACUGCUUUUACUUGGACACACAUCAGUGCCAACCUGAGAUAUUUCAUCAUGUCUCCUGGUUCAUAUUCAUCACCAAUUGAUUGAUCAAUGAAUUCAUGCCAUCUUUCUUCUUCCCACAUCUGCCAUGCCUGGAAAUACGGUCCUUACAUAAAUUUGACGAUCCCUAUGGAUGAUACGCAGUCGUGAAUGCUCAUGAAGGUAUAGAAGCCCUUGGGCUAUUCCUUCAACUAUUUUAAGUCGUAUCAUCCAGUUUAAUGAUGUCCUCCUGUUUGGAUCUGCAAAUGUGGCACAGGGCUGAGUGUUUAGUACUACAGAGGGGAAGGCAUACAAUUAAACGUUAGCAAAUUACUCCAGAAAGAAAUGUACCGAAAAUGAAGUAGUCCAAGCUUUUGUUUGACAUGUAUUCAUAGAUCAGAAUCUUCUCUUCGUCAUGGAUGCAACAACCCAGCAGCCUAACAAGGUGUCUGUGCUGAAGUUUUGCUACCAGUUGGAUCUCAUUUUUGAAUUCCACUAGACCUUGUCUUGACCGUGCAGCGAGUUUUUUAAUCGCUACUUCUUGUCCGUCAGGAAAUAUUCCCUGCAAAAAUCAUGAACCAUCCUCUAUAACUUAGAAUGGUGCCAUGUUAAUUUUGUUUUUAUUGAGGAAAUAUGAAUAUGAUAGAAAAUACUUUGUAAACGGGCCCAAAGCCACCCUGUCCUAAUAUUUUGCCGGGUGAGAAGUUGUCUGUAGCAUCUGCGAUUUGUGAGAAAUCAUACAAGGAGAACUCAGAACCGGUAUCUUCCAUCUUCCAAAGCCUCAGGAUUUCAUCUAUGUUCUUGGGCUGCUCCGUGGAGUUUAUCUUCCCUAAAUGUACACCCCUCCAUCAGUUAUCAGUUAUUACAUGAAAUUAGAUCACUUGGUAGUGAGUUAGUUGCAACUAUCAUCAUUAGCGCAUGGAAUUUAUUGAACUGCUUACCUCUUUUUCUUCGUCUUAUGAUGUAUAGGACACAGAAAAGCAAACGUGUACAGACGACCGAGAGCGAGUACACUGUGGCAAUAAUCAGGAGUGCGUGGCCCUUCCUUUGCCCUGAAUAUUUCAAGAGAAUAAUUUACAGGUAGGGGAUGAACGAUACUUCUAAUAGCUUCUCAAGGUUCCAGCUCUUUCAUAAGCACUUUUUUUUUGCGGGUAGAAGGGAAAUGUCAGAAGGUGACUCAGAUAGGUAAAGUCAUGUACUUUCCAUGAUUGCUUCCUUCCAGUAUAUGUACCCAAAUUUGAUUAAGCAAACUGAACCUUUGUGCCAUUA